CCACACUGUAAACGAUGAUUGCUAGGUGUAGGAGGUAAUAAUCCUUCUGUGCCGGAGUUAACGCAAUAAGCAAUCCACCUGGGGAGUACGGUCGCAAGACUGAAACUCAAAGGAAUUGACGGGGGCCCGCACAAGCAGUGGAGUAUGUGGUUUAAUUCGAGGCAACGCGAAGAACCUUACCAGGGCUUGACAUCCUCUGACCGCCUAAGAGAUUAGGUUUCCCUUCGGGGCAGAGAGACAGGUGGUGCAUGGUUGU
rnacentral:rRNA from 1 species